GAUGAAGAACGUAGCGAAAUGCGAUAAGUAAUGUGAAUUGCAGAAUUCAGUGAAUCAUCGAAUCUUUGAACGCACCUUGCGCCCUUUGGCCAUUCCGAAGGGCAUGCCUGUUUGAGUAUCAUGAACACCUCAACUCUUUAUGGUUUUCCAUGAUGAGCUUGGACUCUGGGGGUUUUGCUGGCUCACAGUCGGCUCCUCUAAAAUGAAUCAGCUUACCAGCGUUUGGUGGGUAUCAUGGGUGUGAUAACUAUCUACGCUUGUGGUUUUUCCACCAGGUAACCUUCAGCAGUGGAGGUUCGCUGGAGCUCAUAGAUGUCUCUCCUCAGUGAGGACAGCCCUUUGAAUGUUUGAUCUCAAAUCAGGUAGGACUACCCGCUGAACUUAAGCAUAUCAAUAAGCGGAGGA
rnacentral:misc_RNA from 1 species